rnacentral:rRNA from 1 species
UACGGGGGGGGCGAAGCGUUGUUCGGAAUUACUGGGCGUAAAGGGCUCGUAGGUGGCCAACUAAGUCAAUCGUGAAAUCCCUCGGCUUAACCGGGGAACUGCGCUUGAUACUGGAUGGCUUGAGUUUGGGAGAGGGAUGCGGAAUUCCAGGUGUAGCAGUGAAAUGCGUAGAUAUCUGGAGGAACACCGGUGGCGAAGGCGGCAUCCUGGACCAAUACUGACGCUGAGGAGCGAAAGCUAGGGGAGCAAAGCGGGG